UAGUGUUGACAAUGUAACAAUUUCUGGAAAUUUUUUCAUUCUUCCACGUUUUUGAAAUACCAGAUGAUACUGAAAUCGUCAACAUCUGGCGUGGCAGUCAGAAGGGCGCGUGCGGUAGCCAAGGUAAAUAGGGUGUCGGUGGAAUUGCAUUUUCUUGUUGAAUGAAGACUGUUUGAAGAAAUUGCUUUAAAAUCUCUAUUAUCGCAUUGAAGUUUAGGGCGGUCAUUAUUAUGCAACUCUUAAAGUAGUUUCCAGUUAUUAUAGUUACAAUAAUACGUUCUUCAAAUAAUUGCAAUGCUUUUCUAAUAAAAUAUAUAAAUGAUGGUCGUUUUAGAACCGCUGAAGUAAAAUUGGCUUAAACUGAGUAUCGCAAAAUGUUUCUCCAAAAGUGCAAAAAGCGUUUUCAAAAAUUAAUAUUUUCUAACAAUCAACACUUAACAAUUUCUUAUUAUAGUGAGUAAUUUAGAAAAUGUCUUUACUUUUGCACUAGAAACAAAUUUCGUAUCAAAUAAAUUAUCUUGAAUACUUCAUGCUGCAUGCACAAGUAUUGUUGAUUUGUAUCUUCUUUGACUAUAGUUGUCCAGAUAUAUUCGUGAUAAACUAGCUGUAAUUGCUGGUUUAGAAACAAACAAGCAAUUGCAAACAAAACUGAACGACGCUGAAGAUAGAAUUAAAGAACUGGAAGCUGCAUUGCAAACUGAAGAAAAAACGGGCAAAGUUGAUCGCAGUUCUCUUACAGACGGAAGUGCAACCCAGCAAGCAGACAUUGCUCCUGCAGAAGAUGUGACAGCUAAAGCGGAUGACCCUGUUUCGCCAACUGAAGAACCUCCUAGCUCAGAAACUCAAGACAGUGCUGACGUUGAGCAAUAACGAUAAACGCUAACUUAAACUUCCCAGAUAAUUAAAUUAGAAUUUUUUUUUUGUGCAUAUGGAGUUUGCAAACCUUGAUAAGAUUAGUGAGCACAGCACAUUCAUUAUCAUUUAUUAUUUCAACUUGAAUUGAAUUUAAAAUGUGGAAAACAUGAAAAGCAUUUAAUAAAAGUUAUCGCAGGGGCAAAAUUCUUCAAUUUCAAAAAAUAUUUAAUCUAGAAAGACGUUUUAGUUUUGCUUGCUUGCAAAUUCUUGUCGAGUCGGUAAGAAUUUAUAUUAUCAGUUAUUCUAUUGACGUGAAUUUAUGUCGUCAUGUAACAUGUUUUGAAACACUAUUACACACUGGUAAGUUGAACACUAGGUUUCUGAGCUCCUUUCAUGAUAUAAGUCGACAUCUUAGCAUAACUUAAAAAAAAACUUCAGUAGAACUCUACGAAAUAUGAGGUCUGUUUUGUGAAAUUAAAUGGUCGCAAUUAAAGGACCGCAGAGCCUACUUACAAUCGCCCAUUACAAAAUCCUUUAAUAAUUAAAGAAAACAUUCACAUUCCAAGUAUUAUGCCAACACAUUCUUAAACGCUGUCUAAAGUUGUGUAAUUUAUUAUAGGUGCUUUCGUACUUAAAUCGAAUUUAAUAUUUAAAUGUUCUCAUUUUAAAGCCUUUGACACUAAAUCGAGAAAUGUACAUUGACCAACCUGAAACUUUACUUUUAGCGAAACACCACAUGAUUGUAUUAGCUAUUUUCUUGUAGUACCAAACUGAUGUAAUGUUAAACACGAUUAAAUUAAAGGUUUCAAGAAUGUUUAUGUGAAAUAUUAAUUCAAGAUCAGUUUUGUGGGAACAGUUCAUUUAAAUAUUUUUAUAUUUUUAUUUGUAUCCGCUCAGUGAUACUUUUUAGUACCUGUUAGAUUUAUUGUUGUUUGUUU
rnacentral:lncRNA from 1 species